rnacentral:rRNA from 1 species
GACAGAGGGUGCAAACGUUGUUCGGAAUUACUGGGCGUAAAGCGCGUGUAGGCAGCUCGGAAAGUCGGAUGUGAAAGCCCUGGGCUCAACCUAGGAAGUGCAUUCGAAACUUCCGAGCUGGAGUGCUGGAGAGGAAGGCGGAAUUCUCGGUGUAGAGGUGAAAUUCGUAGAUAUCGAGAGGAACACCGGUGGCGAAGGCGGCCUUCUGGACAGUAACUGAUGCUGAGACGCGAAAGCGUGGGGAGCAAACAGG